UAUUAUUCCUCAUUGCACAUCUUUUACCGCUCUUGUAGUCGUUUGCUCCUUUUUGGGAUUUUUCGACGCAGGAAACUAUGUUCUCCUACCUAUCCUUACAUUUGAUUUGGUGGGAGCAGAAAGAAUGCCUGUUGCAUGGGGAUUUAUGAUGGCUGUCAAUGCAAUUAGCUGUUUUGGUCCACCCUUUGCAGGUGUAAUGUAUGAUGCAUAUGGCAAUUAUACCAUUGGCUUUGUAGUAACUGGGGUUUGCAAUAUUGGAGCAGCUGGCAUACUUGCUUUAAUACCCUCGUUGCAAAAAUCAUCAGUCCAGGUAACAAAAAACUACAUUAAUGCUUCUGUAUGUGUAAUAACCAAUACCAUCGUGCCUUGGCAAUCUCCAAGUAUUUCAUUAGGGAGUAUUACUUCCUCAUUCACAAAAUCUAUGAUAUCUCCUGCAGCAAGUACCUCAGGC